rnacentral:rRNA from 1 species
GACGAACCGUGCGAACGUUGUUCGGAAUCACUGGGCUUAAAGGGCACGUAGGCGGGCCGGACGGUCCGGGGUGAAAUCCCCCCGCUCAACGGGGGAACGGCCCCGGACACCGCCGGCCUCGAGGGGGGUAGGGGCGAGCGGAACGCUGGGUGGAGCGGUGAAAUGCGUUGAUAUCCAGCGGAACUCCGGUGGCGAAGGCGGCUCGCUGGGCCCUCUCUGACGCUGAGGCGCGAAAGCGUGGGGAGCAAACAGG